UACGGAGGAUCCGAGCGUUAUCCGGAUUCAUUGGGUUUAAAGGGUGCGUAGGUUGUUUUAUAAGUUAGCGGUGAAAUACCGAUGCUCAACAUCGGGGCUGCCGCUAAUACUGUAGGACUAGAGAUCGGAUGCAGCAGGCGGAAUGUGUAGUGUAGCGGUGAAAUGCAUAGAUAUUACACAGAACACCGAUUGCGAAGGCAGCAUACCGGCGCCCGACUGACGCUGAAGCACGAAAGCGUGGGUAUCGAACAGG
rnacentral:rRNA from 1 species